ACAUACAAACUGGACCACCAUGUUCUUACAAAUCCUGUUCCUAAUAUGUUCAGUUUGUAAUACUCAUGGCGUUGCUAGUGCUGCAUCACCAUCGUGUACCAGCGAUGAAUACAGAGCGGGACAGGUCUGCUGCCUUGCAUGUCCUGGUGGAUAUAGGGUUCAUAGGGAUUGCACAGCGACACUCAAUACAUUGUGCUCAAAGUGUCCGGAUGGUACUUUCAAAGAAGACCUUAGCGGACAGAAGCAGUGCUCUGCCUGUACAAAGUGUGUCAGAGGUCAGGAGGUGAAGAAGUUCUGUACUCCAACAUCAGAUGCUGAGUGUGAGAUCCUGGAUGGAUUCUUCUGUAGUGAGUCAACAGAUAAAGACACAUUCUCAGGGGCCAAAUUGUCAUGCCA